GCAUCUGUACGAUUUAAAAAUUUGACCUAUGAGAGGCAGACCAUGAGAGUUUUAUUUCCACCACAUCCUUGCCAAUAUUUGGUUUGACCAGUCUUCUUGAUUUUAGACAUGCCAAUAGAUCAGCAGCAUUAACAUAUCCUGAGAGCAUGCUGGGAACGCAGGAUCUCAGCGCCCAACCCCCUACUAUGAUCUACUGAAUCAGAAUGUGACCAUUUUGUCAGGACCUCCAGCGAUGUGACAGAACAGCAUGCAGGGACCAUACGGAAGAGGAAAAGACCUCUGCAGGCAAUGAUGCUGGGAGAGCAAACCUCCUGUGGCAUAGCAGAGUUCCUGAAGACCUCUGGGAUGCUCAUCAAGGUUAAAGCUGAUUUUCACCUUGUGCUUCAUGACAUUCCCUUGGGGAGGCCACAAGCCACUAAACCUGCAUUUCACAUCAGCCUUCAGCUCUUCCAUGAGGCCUUGCAGUAUUGGAGGCAAUGUCACCAAUGUACCCUUUUUAAUUUGUGAAUGACACAUUGGUAAUUGGUAUUGGUAAUGAUCAUUAAGAAUAGCCAAGAAGAUAACUGGGCUGAUGCAUCCAGAUCUACCUUCUCAGCCUCAAAGUGAAGACGGUACCUAUGUAUUUUGUCCACUGUUUUGGAAUAGACUGAGAAGGAAUAAAUGCAGUGUGCAAAGCCUGGAGUUUGGGGAUCCACAAGAAGAAAGAGAAAAGGGCACGUGCUGAUGGCUGAAUGAUUUCCACAAGCAAGGGAGGAUUGGAUAUGUUUCAACAGAUCUAGUCUUUAUGAGUCCUUGUGGGAUGGGGACAGGCAAACCCACUGUGUCUGCCUUCAAGCUCAUCAUGAGACCAUAUAGAUAUUAACUGGGAAUGUUAAUCCAAACUGGGAAUGAUGAAAUCCUUCCUUCUUGUGUAUCCAAUUUGCCUUUAUGAGCACACGGCUAUAGAGAUAAGGAAUUGUUAUGUGCAUAUGUGUUAAUACACAUAGGCGCUAAUGGCUAACCCUGGGCCUUAUGUUAGACUACAUGAGUAAAGUUGAACACUUUGAGGAGCAAAGGAAUGUUUAGGGAAAAUUUUAUUUUAUUAUAUUAUUUAUUUAUUUAUUAAAAUUUUUAAA